UAAUACGGAGGGUGCAAGCGUUAUCCGGAUUUAUUGGGUUUAAAGGGUCCGUAGGCGGAUCAUUAAGUCAGUGGUGAAACCCGACAGCUCAACUGUCGAACUGCCAUUGAUACUGGUGAUCUUGAGUACGGUUGAAGUAGGCGGAAUAUGACAUGUAGCGGUGAAAUGCUUAGAUAUGUCAUGGAACACCGAUUGCGAAGGCAGCCUACUAAGCCGUUACUGACGCUGAGGGACGAAAGUGUGGGGAGCGAACAGGAUUAGAUACCCUGGUAGUCCACACCGUAAACGAUGAUUACUCGGUAUUGGCUUUAUUGUCAGUGCCCAAGCGAAAGUGAUAAGUAAUCCACCUGGGGAGUACGGCCGCAAGGUUG
rnacentral:rRNA from 1 species